rnacentral:rRNA from 1 species
CGGAUGACGGGAGCUUGCUCCUUGAUUCAGCGGCGGACGGGUGAGUAAUGCCUAGGAAUCUGCCUGGUAGUGGGGGACAACGUUUCGAAAGGAACGCUAAUACCGCAUACGUCCUACGGGAGAAAGCAGGGGACCUUCGGGCCUUGCGCUAUCAGAUGAGCCUAGGUCGGAUUAGCUAGUUGGUGAGGUAAUGGCUCACCAAGGCGACGAUCCGUAACUGGUCUGAGAGGAUGAUCAGUCACACUGGAACUGAGACACGGUCCAGACUCCUACGGGAGGCAGCAGUGGGGAAUAUUGGACAAUGGGCGAAAGCCUGAUCCAGCCAUGCCGCGUGUGUGAAGAAGGUCUUCGGAUUGUAAAGCACUUUAAGUUGGGAGGAAGGGUUGUACGCUAAUACCGUGCAAUUUUGACGUUACCGACAGAAUAAGCACCGGCUAACUCUGUGCCAGCAGCCGCGGUAAUACAGAGGGUGCAAGCGUUAAUCGGAAUUACUGGGCGUAAAGCGCGCGUAGGUGGUUCGUUAAGUUGGAUGUGAAAGCCCCGGGCUCAACCUGGGAACUGCAUCCAAAACUGGCGAGCUAGAGUACGGUAGAGGGUGGUGGAAUUUCCUGUGUAGCGGUGAAAUGCGUAGAUAUAGGAAGGAACACCAGUGGCGAAGGCGACCACCUGGACUGAUACUGACACUGAGGUGCGAAAGCGUGGGGAGCAAACA